AUUUAUAUAGUUUUUUAAAAACCUUACAUUUUCAAUGUAAAAAUGAACUAAAAAGUUCUAUAAAUA
rnacentral:tRNA from 1 species